CGGAACACACUCAUGCAAAUACGACGGACAGGUAGAGAGAUGCAUAGAUAGACAGACAGACAGAUAGAUAGACAGGUAAAGAGACAGACAGAUAGACAGAUAAGGAACCAAAUAGACAGACAGGUAAAGAGAUCGAUAGACGGGUAAAGAGACAAAUAGACAGGUAAAUAAAUAGAGACAGGUAAACAAACAGAUUGACAGACAGAAAAAGAAGACAAAUAGUUAGACAGAUAGACAGUAUAUCACUCAGGCUGGUAUGUUGCGUUUAAGACAGACAAAGACAGACAGAAAAAAAGACCUAGACAGUUAAAUAGACAGUCUUAGGUGGACAGGUAACAAACAGAGAGAGACACCAAGAAAAGACAGACAGAAAAAAAGACCCAGACAGUUAAAUAGACAGUGUUAGGUGGACAGGAUAACAAACAGAGAGGAACACCAAGAAAAGACAGACAGAAAAAAAGACCCAGACAGUUAAAUAGACAGUCUUAGGUGGACAGGAUAAGAGGGACAAAAAAACAAA